rnacentral:tRNA from 1 species
AUGCCAGUAGCUCAAUUGGUAGAGCGGCGGUCUCCAAAACCGCAGGUUGGGGGUUCGAUUCCCUCCUGGUAUGCCA